rnacentral:rRNA from 1 species
UACGUAGGUGACAAGCGUUGUCCGGAUUACUGGGCGUAAAGAGCGCGCAGGCGGUCGAUCAAGUCGAGUGUGAAAGCCCCCGGCUCAACUGGGGAGGGUCAUUCGAUACUGAUCGACUCGAAGGCAGGAGAGGGUAGUGGAAUUCCCGGUGUAGUGGUGAAAUGCGUAGAUAUCGGGAGGAACACCAGUGGCGAAGGCGACUACCUGGCCUGUUCUUGACGCUGAGGCGCGAAAGCUAGGGAGCAACGGG